rnacentral:rRNA from 1 species
CCUACGGGAGGCAGCAGUAGGGAAUAUUGCACAAUGGACGAAAGUCUGAUGCAGCAACGCCGCGUGUGCGAUGAAGGCCUUCGGGUUGUAAAGCACUUUUCUGAGGGAAGAGGAAGGACGGUACCUCAGGAAUAAGUCUCGGCUAACUACGUGCCAGCAGCCGCGGUAACACGUAGGAGGCAAGCGUUAUCCGGAUUUACUGGGCGUAAAGCGCGUGCAGGCGGUGCGGUAAGUUGGAUGUGAAAGCUCCCGGCUCAACUGGGAGAGGCCGUUCAAUACUGCUGGACUAGAGGACGGUAGAGGGAGGUGGAAUUCCAGGUGUAGUGGUGAAAUGCGUAGAUAUCUGGAGGAACACCAGUGGCGAAAGCGGCCUCCUAGGCCGUUCCUGACGCUAAGACGCGAAAGCAUGGGUAGCAAACGGGAUUAGAAACCCCGGUAGUCCAUGCUGUAAACGAUGCGAACUUGGUGUUGGUGGUGUAAGAGCCAUCAGUACCGAAGCUAACGCGAUAAGUUCGCCGCCUGGGGAUUACGACCGCAAGGUUAAAACUCAAAGGAAUUGACGG